rnacentral:rRNA from 1 species
AGCGAACGCUGGCGGCAGGCCUAAUACAUGCAAGUCGAGCGCACCUUCGGGUGAGCGGCGGACGGGUGAGUAACGCGUGGGAACGUGCCCUUUGGUACGGGAUAACUGAGGGAAACUUCAGCUAAUACCGUAUGUGCCCUACGGGGGAAAGAUUUAUCGCCAUUGGAGCGGCCCGCGUUGGAUUAGCUAGUUGGUGAGGUAAAGGCUCACCAAGGCUACGAUCCAUAGCUGGUCUGAGAGGAUGAUCAGCCACACUGGGACUGAGACACGGCCCAGGCUCCUACGGGAGGCAGCAGUAGGGAACCUUGCGCAAUGGGCGAAAGCCUGACGCAGCCAUGCCGCGUGAAUGAUGAAGGUCUUAGGAUUGUAAAAUUCUUUCACCGGGGAAGAUAAUGACGGUACCCGGAGAAGAAGCCCCGGCUAACUUCGUGCCAGCAGCCGCCGCCGUAA